rnacentral:rRNA from 1 species
GACGAACGCUGGCGGCGUGCUUAACACAUGCAAGUCGAACGGGAUUUAGUAAACAGAAACCUCGGUGGAAGAUUACUAAUGAGAGUGGCGAACGGGUGAGUAACGCGUGAGCAACCUGCCUAUGACAGUGGGAUAGCCUCGGGAAACCGGGAUUAAUACCGCAUAAAAUCGUAGAAACACAUGUUUUAACGGUCAAAGAUUUAUCGGUCAUAGAUGGGCUCGCGUCUGAUUAGCUAGUUGGUGAGAUAACAGCCCACCAAGGCGACGAUCAGUGGCCGGUCUGAGAGGAUGAACGGCCACAGUGGAACUGAGACACGGUCCAAACUCCUACGGGAGGCAGCAGUGGGGAAUAUUGCACAAUGGGGGAAACCCUGAUGCAGCGACGCCGCGUGAACGAAGAAGGUAUUCGUAUCGUAAAGUUCUGUCCUAUGGGAAGAUAAUGACAGUACCAUAGAAGAAAGCUCCGGCUAAAUACGUG